AUGACAGACAGAGGCAACGCGGAACUCCCCGUGGCAUUCUUCAGAGCCGAGCAUGUGGAACUCAACGUGCAUGCCGCUGCAGAUCUUGUCCGGUGGCGCGGAGAAGAGAUCCAGGGCCCGUGUGAGGGGAUCGUAGACAGCCAUUUGCUUGAUUCCCCAGUUGACGAGAACGACAUAUCCGUCGCGGCAGUCUUCCAUUGCCCACUCGCGAUCGGCGUCCUUAUCGUCUUCGGGGAGCAGGGUAAGGAAGACAUCGGCGCCGCGGAUGGCGGCGGCGUGGUCCACGUCGGAGAGGCGGCGGGUGGGCGCAAAGGCUGGCAAGGCGGGGUCGUGGAUGCUGAGGAAGAUUCCUAG
rnacentral:rRNA from 1 species